rnacentral:rRNA from 1 species
GGAAGGAUCAUUACCGAGUGCGGGUCCCUCGUGGCCCAACCUCCCAUCCGUGUUGACCGACACCUGUUGCUUCGGCGGGCCCGCCAGGGCUCCCGCCCCGGCCGCCGGGGGGCAUCGCCCCCGGGCCCGCGCCCGCCGAAGACCCCUCGAACGCUGCCUUGAAGGUUGCCGUCUGAGUAUCAAAUCAAUCGUUAAAACUUUCAACAACGGAUCUCUUGGUUCCGGCAUCGAUGAAGAACGCAGCGAAAUGCGAUAAGUAAUGUGAAUUGCAGAAUUCCGUGAAUCAUCGAAUCUUUGAACGCACAUUGCGCCCCCUGGCAUUCCGGGGGGCAUGCCUGUCCGAGCGUCAUUGCUAACCCUCCAGCCCGGCUGGUGUGUUGGGCCGUCGUCCCCUCCGGGGGACGGGCCCGAAAGGCAGCGGCGGCGCCGCGUCCGGUCCUCGAGCGUAUGGGGCUUUGUCACGCGCUCUGGUAGGCCCGGCCGGCUUGCUGGCCAACGACCUCACGGUCACCUAACUUCUCUCUUAGGUUGACCUCGGAUCAGGUAGGG